UUGCUUAGAAGAAGUUGCUAGAAUCGGUGCAGGAAAUUGACGUCGGUUUCUUCUGAUAGACUUUCAAUCCAUGAUACAAGUUAGGAAACAACAGGGACACUUAGAGUGUCAGACGUGCAAGACAAAACUAGUUUAUUUGUAGCUCAUCAUUUGAUCUCAUAGCUCUCUCACUACCCCUCUCUCCCUCGCGCUCUCUCUCUCUUUUCUAUCACUCUUUUCUCCCCUCUCUUCGCCCCUUUUGUCUCUCUCUCCUAAUCUCUCUUUCUCAUCUUCUCUCUCUCUCUCUCUCUCUAUUUUCCUCUUUUUCUGACUUCCUAUCUCUUCAUCUUUCUCAGCUCCACUGUCACUAUCUCUCUGUCGGUGCGUAGAUUAUGGCAUUCUAGCACCAAUGUGUAUUAAGUGCACUAUUUUUGAACGCACUUUCUUUUUGUUGCCUUGCUUGUAAGUUAAUGGAGUGUUUUUGUUCUGCUGGUGUAACGUUUGUUGAGAUUUUUCUGUGUUCCCCUGUUUAGGGGAGUUAGCUUGGGAUUGGAAGUCUACGCUGGUGACUAAAGACAGCAGUGUCAGAGUGUGUUGUGUUUUCGAACAUUAAUGUGUACGUUGUGGGACAGCAAGGGGUAGAAUUAUUAUUUAAUUAAUAAAUUCACAGUCUUAAAAUGUUCAAUGUCAUUACUCCAUUAGUUUGUCAUCAUACUUAUAUUUAUAUCAUUAAAUAUUUACAUUGUUA